GGCGCUAAAGCAACCCGAGAAGCUCAAGACGUAGAAUCCUGAUAUCCCGGGCGAAAUUGUCGGCAGACCGGAUAAUUAUAGAUUCUGCAGUUUGUGUGCUAUGUGUACAGUCAGAUAGCCAGCCUUAUUUUGUCUAUCGGACAUCGGACAUCGUAUCCUAAUUGCCCGCCGUUUGCUCCCAAGAAGUCACCGGAAGAGAAGCAAGAACCAUCAUUAUCCAGCGAGGACGAGCCUAAUAAAAGGUGCUCUCGGCUCGAAGGGAAGUCAACGUUGUAUCCAUUGGAGGACACACACACAAACACACACCCACUAAGAGAGAGAUAGAGAGAAGGAUACCGCCGCCCCUUAUUAGAUCCAGAACCACGCUGUAACGACCUUCCAAUUCAAUUUGGAAAGAAUGAAGUAGAAGUAGUCAAUCCAUUAGGUAAUUAACGAAGUGACUUUACCAAAGUGUUUUGCAAUUUCUCGUUUGUGAGUCAACAUGUAAUAAAAGUUACUCGUUUGACGGACGAACCAAGAAACGAACUAACUGUUCGACCGGAGUCAUCCAGAGUCAUCCAGAGUCGUUCGGAGUCAUCCGAAGUCGUCUGAAGUCAGCCCAAGUCGCUCGGAGUCGUCUAGAAUCAGUCCGAGUCUCCCGAAGUUUUCCAGAGUCGGAGUCGUCCGGCGUCGGCUGGAGUCAGGUGGAUAACUCCGGGCGAGUCUAACUCAAGCUAGUGGUUCUGAUUUUGCCGAAGACGGAAUUGGACUAAUAAUAUUCGGAGUCGGAUCGGAGUGGUAAGCGCGCUCCAGAGAGCAUACCAUUGGAAUGGACAAACGAAUAAUCGAUCAAAUGAGCGAAUGAACGAUCGAAUGAACAAGUAGAAAAUGAAUUAUUUCAGUAGGUUUUUGUGAACUGCCCAUUGAUUGAAUGUCGAAUGAACGAACGAAGGGACAAAUA